ACUGACCCAGGACAACGAGCCAGAGUAUGAGCCAGACGGACUCCCAGAGGUGGUCAGAAAAGGCUUUGCUGAUAUUCCUACUGGGAAAACCAACCCCUGUGUUUUGCGCAGAACAGCGCUAAACCUAAAGACCAGUGCCCGUCUUGCUGCUCAAAGCCAAAAUUUGUCACCAUAUGGCCAACGUUUACAAAGGCAGGUCAGCUAAUUUUGCCAAGAUCUCUAAACCGACAGCUGGUGGCAGCAAAUCACCAAAGGUAGAUGAUACUCAGCAGUGCCAAGCAGAAACAGCUAUUGAACCCAUGGAAUCUAGUUCAAGAUCUCCUCUUUGCAUGAAGAAGCAAAACACACAAGCUGUUGCUGAGAACUUGAUGGAGAAUCUCAACACACACCAAGGCAG